rnacentral:rRNA from 1 species
GAUGAACGCUAGCGGCAGGCUUAAUACAUGCAAGUCGAGGGGCAGCAUGGUGUAGCAAUACACUGAUGGCGACCGGCAAACGGGUGCGGAACACGUACAGAACCUUCCUUCGAGCGGGGAAUAGCCCAGAGAAAUUUGGAUUAAUACCCCAUAGUAUAUUGAAAAGGCAUCUUUUUAAUAUUAAAGAUUUAUCACUUGAAGAUGGCUGUGCGGCUGAUUAGGUAGUUGGCGGGGUAACGGCCCACCAAGCCUGCGACCAGUAACUGGUGUGAGCGCACGAACAGUAACACGGGAACUGAGACACGGGCCCGACUCCUACGGGAGGCAGCAGUAAGGAAUAUUGGUCAAUGGACGAAAGUCUGAACCAGCCAUGCCGCGUGGAGGAUGAAGGUCCUCUGGAUUGUAAACUUCUUUUAUAUGGGACGAAAAAAGGCUUUUCUAAGUCGUCUGACGGUACCAUAUGAAUAAGCACCGGCUAACUCCGUGCCAGCAGCCGCCGUAACAC